GUCUACGGCCAUACCACCCUGAACGCGCCCCGAUCUCGGUCUGAUCUCGGAAGCUAAGCAGGGUCGGGCCCGGUUAGUACUUGAUGGGAGACCGCCUGGGAAUACCGGGUGCUGUAGGCU
rnacentral:rRNA from 1 species